rnacentral:rRNA from 1 species
UAGAGUUUGAUCAUGGCUCAGGACGAACGCUGGCGGCGCGCUUAACACAUGCAAGUCGUGCGGUACCGAUGGCAAGUCCUUACAGACGAGCCCUCGGUACAGCGGCGGACGGGUGAGUAACACGUGAGUAGCUGUCCUAAGGAGGGGGAUAACGCCUGGAAACGGGUGCUAAUACCCCAUAUGCCUCGCAAGAGGUGAAAGUGUACUUGUUACAGCCUUAGGGUGCGCUCGCGGCCUAUCAGCUAGUUGGUGAGGUAACGGCUCACCAAGGCUAAGACGGGUAGCCGGCCUGAGAGGGUGUACGGCCGCACUGGAAUUGAGAUACGGUCCAGACUCCUACGGGAGGCAGCAGUGGGGAAUCUUGGGCAAUGGGCGAAAGCCUGACCCAGCGACGCCGCGUUGGGGAUGAAGCCCUUCGGGGCGUAAACCCAUGUUGUAGGGGACGAAGAAAGUGACGGUACCCUACGAGAAAGCCCCGGCCAACUACGUGCCAGCCGCCGCGGUAAUACA